AGAGUUUGAUCAUGGCUCAGGACGAACGCUGGCGGCGUGCCUAAUACAUGCAAGUCGAGCGCGGGAAGCAAACUGACCCCUUCGGGGUGAUGUUUGUGGAACGAGCGGCGGACGGGUGAGUAACACGUGGGCAACCUGCCUGUAAGACUGGGAUAACUCGCGGAAACGUGAGCUAAUACCGGAUAACACUUUUCGCUGCAUGGCGAGAAGGUGAAAGGCGGCGUAAGCUGUCACUUGCAGAUGGGCCCGCGGCGCAUUAGCUAGUUGGUGAGGUAAAGGCUCACCAAGGCAACGAUGCGUAGCCGACCUGAGAGGGUGAUCGGCCACACUGGGACUGAGACACGGCCCAGACUCCUACGGGAGGCAGCAGUAGGGAAUCUUCCGCAAUGGACGAAAGUCUGACGGAGCAACGCCGCGUGAGUGAAAAAGGUUUUCGGAUCGUAAAACUCUGUUGUUAGGGAAGAACAAGUGUGAGAGUAACUGCUCACACCUUGACGGUACCUAACCAGAAAGCCACGGCUAACUACGUGCCAGCAGCCGCGGUAAUACGUAGGUGGCAAGCGUUGUCCGGAUUUAUUGGGCGUAAAGCGCUCGCAGGCGGUCUUUUAAGUCU
rnacentral:rRNA from 1 species